rnacentral:rRNA from 1 species
UACGGAGGGGGCUAGCGUUGUUCGGAAUUACUGGGCGUAAAGCGCACGUAGGUGGCUUUGUAAGUUAGAGGUGAAAGCCCGGGGCUCAACUCCGGAAUUGCCUUUAAGACUGCAUCGCUAGAACGUCGGAGAGGUAAGUGGAAUUCCGAGUGUAGAGGUGAAAUUCGUAGAUAUUCGGAAGAACACCGGUGGCGAAGGCGGCCCACUGGAUCGGUACUGACGCUGAGGUGCGAAAGCGUGGGGAGCAAACAGG